rnacentral:rRNA from 1 species
CGUACAAAAUGUGAGGGGCAUGCAAGGGCUGUCGCUGACUUCAAAGUCGUGCACGCCCGGGUGUGUCCCCUCNCAUAAUAAUCCACCUCACCCUUUGUGCAUCACCGCGUGGGCACCCUUCGGGAUCAUCUCGGAGGGGGCUCGCGUUUUCACACAAACCCCCCCUUUUAAAAGUGUAGAAUGACCUCAUAUAUGCGCUAACCCGCAAUCAAUACAACUUUCAACAACGGAUCUCUUGGCUCUCGCAUCGAUGAAGAACGCAGCGAAAUGCGAUACGUAAUGUGAAUUGCAGAAUUCAGUGAAUCAUCGAAUCUUUGAACGCACCUUGCGCCCCUUGGUAUUCCGAGGGGCACACCCGUUUGAGUGUCGUGAAAACCUCAACCUCCUUGGUUUCUUCUGGAGACCAAAGCAGGCUUGGACUUUGGAGGCCUUUGCUGGUGCCUCUCUCUUUUGAAGGCCAGCUCCUCUUAAACAAAUUAGCAGGGUCCUCUUUGCCGAUCCUCGACGUGUGAUAAGAUGUUUCCAUGUCUUGGUUUCUGGCUCUGUCACUUUUGGGACCCGCUUCUAACCGUCUGGACCUUGCGUCGAGAC